rnacentral:lncRNA from 1 species
AAAAAAUAUAAAAAAAAUCAAUGAAAAUAGUGGUGUAAAAAUUAAAAGGCAUGAUUUUUUUCAACAUGGAGUGAUCAAAUUUUUUCAUUUUUUAUUUUUUCUUCUCAUUUUUUUUUUUCUUUUUGGAGAUCUAUAAGAAGGAAAAGAUUAGAGAGAAAAAACUGUCGUCGAUGAUGAUGGGGAGAAAAAUGAUGGUGGAGACUAGUGAGAGGUGGUGGCGAUGAGAGCAAGAAGGAGGUUGGCAUCUCUCUUUUUCGGAGAUCUAUGAGAAGAAAAGCACCUGAGGGAGAUUGAAGUAGGGAUGCCAAUGACAAUUAGGAGGAAGGCAACAAUAGAAAUUAGCGGAAGGUGGCAGUAUGGAGAGUGGGGAGGAGGUGGGUGUCUAUGAGGGCUCGAAACGACGAUGGUGGAGACUAGCAGGAGGUGGUUGUGGAGGUGGGCGUCCGCAAGGGUUCGAGAAGGUAAUGGCAGAGAUUGGCAGGAGGUGGCAACGAAAAAAACGGAGAGGAGGUGGGCACCGCAAUGGCUUAGGACGGCGAUGGCAGAGAUAAGUGGGAGAUGCUAGUGGAGGUGAGCAUCCGCGAGGGCUCAGGAGGGUGAUGGUGGAGACUGACGAGAGGUGGUAGGUGAGGUGGGCAUUUGUAAGGGCUCGAAAAGAUGACGAUGGAGACCAACAGGAGAUGAUAGUUGAGGUGGACAUUCACGAGGGCUUGGGAAGGUGAUGGUGGAGACCAGCGAGAAGGUGGCAGCAAGGAGAGUAGGGAGGUGAUGGGCAUCCAUGAGGGCUUGGGAAGGCGAUGGCGGAGAUCAAUGGAUGGUGGUAAUGAAGGUGGGCAUCUGCAAGGGCUCGAGAAUGUGGUGGCAGCAAGGAGAGCAUGGGGGAGGUGGGCAUCUGUGAGGUCUCAGGAAGGCAACGAUAGAGACUGGUGGGAGG